AAUGCGGUUAAUCCCGCCGUGAUCCAAGCUAUUAUUGCGAAAAUAGGCGAAUACAACCAACUAUCAUUAAGAAUUUCAUCUUUUGACCAAAAACAAGCAAGAGGUGGAAUACCACAAAGAGAAAAUGUACCUAAUAAAAACGAAGUUUUGGUAAUCGGUAUAUACUUUGUUAACCCCCCCAUCAAAACCAUAUUCUGAUUUUUAUCGGCGGAAUAGCCAACAAUACUUUCCAUUGAAUGAAUAACAGACCCAGACCCUAAAAAUAAUAAUGCUUUUGAAUAAGCAUGAGUAAUCAAAUGAAAUAAAGCACUUCGAUAAGACCCGAUUCCUAGAGCUAGCAUCAUAUAACCCAAUUGAGACAUUGUUGAAUAAGCUAAACCCCUUUUAAUGUCUUUUUGAGCAAGAGCUAAAGUAGCUCCUAAUAAUAUUGUAAUUAUGCCUAUCAAAGAGAUGAAAUCCAUUAUAUAAGGUAUAACUAUAAAAAUAGGAAGAAGACGAGCUACAAGAAAAAUACCCGCUGCUACCAUAGUAGCGGCAUGGAUAAGAGCCGAAAUAGGAGUGGGACCCUCCAUAGCAUCAGGUAACCAUACAUGAAGUGGAAAUUGUGCGGAUUUAGCAACUGCACCAGCAAAUAAUAGAACAGCACACAAAGUAACAAAUAUAGAAUUGACUUGAUUAUUGGAAACCAAGUUAUUAACCAUUUCGAAUAAAUCCCGAAAUUCAAAACUACCUGUUAUCCAAAAAAGACCAAAAAUUCCUAAUAAUAAACCAAAAUCGCCCACACGAUUUGUUACAAAAGCUUUUUGACAAGCAUUUGCUGCAAGAGGUCGUGUGAACCAAAACCCUAUUAAUAGAUAGGAACACAUUCCAACCAAUUCCCAAAAAAUAUAAAUUUGUAUCAAAUUGGAACUAGUAACUAAUCCCAACAUGGAAGUACUGAAAAAACUCAUAUAAGCAAAAAAUCUCAAGUAUCCUUGAUCGUGAGCCAUAUAAUUAUCACUAUAAAUAAGAACCAUAAUUCCAACAGUAGUGAUUAAUAUUGACAUAAUAGAAGUAAGUGGAUCGAUCAAAUAACCGAAUUCUAAAGAAAAAUCAUUAUUGAGCGUCCAAGACCAUACAUAUUGAUAGAUAGGACUGGUAUUUAUUUGUUCAAUAGAAAAAUUAGUUGAAAAAAUCAUGACUAGACUUAACAAUAAAACAGUCGGAAGAGUGCACAGACGAUGAAAAUUUUUUGUUGCUGUCGGAAAAAGAAGAAGUCCUACUCCUAUUAACAUAGGAACUGGAAGGGGAAUGAAAGGUAUGAUCCACCCAUAUUGAUAUGUCUGUUCCAUAAAUUUUUUUGAAUUCUUAAUUAAUAUGAAUUGUUUAUGAUUCAAUAGACUUCACCUUUUUUGAAAGGACUCAAUAAAAGGAUAAAGAUAUACACUAAGUUAACAUAACUUAAAUAGAAUCUUUGGGUUUUAAUUUCUUUUUAUACUUAUUUAUUCUGAUAAAUAAUUCCAAUAUCCAAACCAAGAAGUUCCAUCUGGUCAAACUAAAGAGAUUGAUUAUCCGUCCACUACAAAUUUGAAAAUUCAAGUCAAAUUAGGGAUAUUUUUACUCAAUUUAACAAAUUACUAAAAAAAAAGAAGAAUAUUCUUUUUAGUAAUAUUUCCUUUUCGAGCAAUUUUAGAUUUAUCUCACUUAUCUUAUCCAUUCUUUUCUAUUUUUUAAUUAAAGAUUUUUUUUGAAAAAAAAAAUAUUCGAAAAGCGCAGAUUGUUUUUGAACAAUAAAUGUCUUUCACAUUCAGCUAGCAAUCUCUUAAUUUUUAUUUAAAUGGCAGUUCCAAAAAAACGCACUUCUGCAUCAAAAAAGCGUAUUCGUAAAAAUUUUUGGAAAAAAAAAGGAUAUCGGGCGUCGUUAAAAGCCUUUUCCUUAGGAAAAUCUCUUUCUACCGGGAAUUCAACAAGUUUUUGUGCGACAAAGAAAUAAAAUACAUAUUUUAUUUCUUUAUAAUAUAAGACGCUGGAAUAAUCUCAAUUGGACUGACUCAAAACUUGACUGAUUCCAUUUGUAAAACGAAACCCCCAAAUUCCAGUUCCUGUUUAUUAACUCAACAGGAACUGGAAUUUGGUACGGUUUUCAAACUUAUCAUAUAUAAUAUAUAAGCAGAAGAAUUCUCUUUACCUUAUCAAAUAAAAAAGAGUUCAUUAAGACCAAAAUUCUUUUUUUUUUGGAGGGGGUUAUACCCUCUUAAUUCCUGGUUUUAAAGAAGGAAAGUAUGAAAUAUACAAUAAAACGAAGACCCUAAACGAAAAUAAUGAACCUUCAAAUACCCAUUUGAACGGAUUUUUUCAUCAAUUUGUAAAAAAUAUUGCACUCAGUUGAAUUCUUAAUUGUAGAUGAUUUUUUAGUCACAAGCUAUUAUGAGUUCAAGACAAG